rnacentral:rRNA from 1 species
AUUGAACGCUGGCGGCAGGCUUAACACAUGCAAGUCGAGCGGGGAAGGGUAGCUUGCUACCUGACCUAGCGGCGGACGGGUGAGUAAUGCUUAGGAAUCUGCCUAUUAGUGGGGGACAACAUUCCGAAAGGAAUGCUAAUACCGCAUACGCCCUACGGGGGAAAGCAGGGGAUCUUCGGACCUUGCGCUAAUAGAUGAGCCUAAGUCAGAUUAGCUAGUUGGUGGGGUAAAGGCCUACCAAGGCGACGAUCUGUAGCGGGUCUGAGAGGAUGAUCCGCCACACUGGGACUGAGUCACGGCCCAGAUUCCUGCGGGAGGCAGCAGUGGGGAAUAUGGGACAAUGGGGGAAAGCCUGAUCCAGCCAUGCCGCGUGUGUGAAGAAGGCCUUUUGGUGUUAAAGCACUUUAAGCGAGGAGGAGGCUACUUGGAUUAAUACUCUUGGAUAGUGGACGUUACUCGCAGAAUAAGCACCGGCUAACUCUGUGCCAGCCGCCGCCGUAAUAC